UAUAUAUAGAAUUAGACUAUUAUAUGCUAUUAAUAGCAUCAAGUCAUUGGUACUACCAAGUUUUUGACCAUUAGAUUAAGAGAUGUGUGGUUAGGAUGAUGUGACCCACCUAGGGUUGAGUGGAUGGUUGGUUGAAUAGUAUGAUCUAACGGGUGAAAUGAUCAAAAGGAUAGAUCUAACGGCGGAAAACUUGGUAGCACCAAGUAUUUCGUGCUAUUAAUAGCAUAGUAGCCGGACUUACUUAUAUAUAUAUAUAUAUAGAGAGAGAGAGAGAGAGAGAGAGAGAGAAUUAAGUUAUUAUAUUAUUAAUAGUACGAAGCGUUUUGUGCUAUCUGAUUUUCGGACUUUGGAUGAAAGGAUGUGCGGUUAGAAUGAUAGUCGUUCCGAUUAGAAUAAUAGUAAUUCUCUAGAGUAGAGUAAGUAGUUAUUUGAAUAAUAUGAUUUAACGGGUGAAAAUAGUUAUAUAGCACUAAAUACUUGAUAUUUUUUAAUAGUAUAUAUAGUAACCUAAUUCCCUCUCU
rnacentral:lncRNA from 1 species